rnacentral:rRNA from 1 species
GACGAACGCUGGCGGCGUGCCUAAUACAUGCAAGUCGAACGCAGGGGGGAAGGGUGAGUAACACGUGGGUAACCUCACAUAAGAGGGGAGUACACUUGGAAACAGGUGCUAAACCGAUACUGAUGGAUGGAACCGCGGUGCAUUAGCUAGCUGGGGAGGUAACGGCGCACCCAGGCAACGAUGCAUAGCCGAGUGGAGAGGGUGAUCGGCCACACGGGGACGGAGACACGGCCCAGACUCCUACGGGAGGCAGCAGUAGGGAAUAUUCGACAAUGGACGAAACUCUGACCGAGCAACGCCGCGUGGGUGAAGAAGGCUUUCGGAUCGGAAAACACUGUCGUUAGGGAGGCGGUAUCUAACCAGAAAGCCACGACUAACUCCGUGCCAGCAGCCGCGGUAAUAC